UUUAACCUGCACAAUUGUUGUGGAUUAUCUGACGCGGUCAAAAUUAAAUUUCUUCUUUACAUGCACGUUGGUGCUACCGGCGCUGGUGCUUACUUGCCUGCACCACAAGUAUGUUUGUGGUAUUGGUUUGUGUAAAUUAGUAUCCUACUGUUGAUCGUGUCCAAUAUGCCUUUGAUCUACCUCUGGAACGGAUAAAGCUCGCGACAAAGACGCGAGAGGUGAAUAGCAACUCGAUUCCUUCCUCCAUAUCUUUUAUCUCGAUCUUUCGAUUUCCAUUGGAUUCCUUUGUCUCCUUCUUCAAUUGGCGUGUGCAUUGCACGAUAGAGUUCCAAACUCCAAUUCCUUCAUCGCACCCCUAUAAAUAGCUCCUCACCCUACCAAACACUUCCCCAAGAACAAGCACAAGAAUUCCUCCCAAUUUCUUCUUUGCGAUCCCCUCCUAAUCCCUCGAUCACCAUGUCGACCUGCGGCGAUUGCAGUUGCGCUGACAAGUCCCAGUGCGUGAAGAAGGGAACUAGCUAUACGGUUGAUAUCGUCGAGACUGAGAAGAGCUACUUGAAUGGAGUGGUGGACGGUGCAGCGUCCGGCGAGCAGAACGAGCCGUGCCAGUGCGGCCCUGCUUGUGCUUGUGUCGACUGCCAGUGCGGCGUCAUAUGAUCGAACACCUUCUGCGCCGCCUCUGAAAUUAGUAUUAUGAAGCAAUAAGAAAAAAUGUUGUGGCUUGUGUGUGGCUUUCUAUGAAGAAGCAAUGUGUUAAUCGUGUGCUAAGAGGAGAUUGUGGUUACCAUCAGCAUAAUCUACCUCUGUAGUAAUUAAAUAAUUAUAUAAAUAUAUAGUUUGUUUAAAUAUAA